UACGGAGGGUGCAAGCGUUAUCCGGAUUCACUGGGUUUAAAGGGUGCGUAGGUGGGCAGGUAAGUCAGUGGUGAAAUCUCCGAGCUUAACUCGGAAACUGCCGUUGAUACUAUUUGUCUUGAAUAUUGUGGAGGUAAGCGGAAUAUGUCAUGUAGCGGUGAAAUGCUUAGAUAUGACAUAGAACACCAAUUGCGAAGGCAGCUUACUACACAACUAUUGACGCUGAGGCACGAAAGCGUGGGGAUCAAACAGG
rnacentral:rRNA from 1 species